rnacentral:rRNA from 1 species
UACGAAGGGGGCUAGCGUUGUUCGGAAUUACUGGGCGUAAAGGGCUCGUAGGCGGCCAACUAAGUCAGACGUGAAAUCCCUCGGUCUUAAACCGGGGAACUGCGUCUGAUACUGGAUGGCUUGAAUCCGGGAGAGGGAUGCGGAAUUCAGGGUGUAGCGGUGAAAUGCGUAGAUAAUCUGGAGGAACACCGGUGGCGAAGGCGGCAAUCCUGGACCGGCAGUUGGACGCUGAGGAGCGAAAGCCAGG